UACGUAGGGUGCGAGCGUUGUCCGGAAUUAUUGGGCGUAAAGAGCUCGUAGGCGGCUUGUCACGUCGGGUGUGAAAGCCCGGGGCUUAACCCCGGGUCUGCAUUCGAUACGGGCUAGCUAGAGUGUGGUAGGGGAGAUCGGAAUUCCUGGUGUAGCGGUGAAAUGCGCAGAUAUCAGGAGGAACACCGGUGGCGAAGGCGGAUCUCUGGGCCUUGCCUGACGCUGAGGCGCGAAAGCUAGGGGAGCAAACGGG
rnacentral:rRNA from 1 species